rnacentral:rRNA from 1 species
GACGAACGCUGGCGGCGUGCUUAACACAUGCAAGUCGAACGGUGAACCACUUCGGUGGGGAUCAGUGGCGAACGGGUGAGUAACACGUGGGCAACCCUGCCCUUAGCUCUGGGAUAACCCCGGGAAACCGGGGCUAAUACCGGAUACGACCUCGAGCGGCAUCACUCGAGGUGGAAAGAACUUCGGCUAAGGAUGGGCCCGCGGCCUAUCAGCUUGUUGGUGGGGUAAUGGCCUACCAAGGCGACGACGGGUAGCCGGCCUGAGAGGGCGACCGGCCACACUGGGACUGAGACACGGCCCAGACUCCUACGGGAGGCAGCAGUGGGGAAUAUUGCGCAAUGGGCGAAAGCCUGACGCAGCGACGCCGCGUGAGGGACGAAGGCC